GUUUAAAAGUUCUUUUUUAAACUCAAUUUUUUUUAGAAACAUAAGAGAAAUAUUUAGAUACAUACAAAUGUUUUUAUGAUUAAAUAAUUUUAUGCUUAUUUUCUGAUACGUGUUAUUUAGGUAAUCAUGCCCUGUACAUUUAGAGGUUGCUAACUGACAAUGUUAAGAAAUUUAAAAAAAAAAAAAAGCCUGGGCAUGAUGGCUCAUGCUUGUAAUCUGAACAUUUGGGAGGCUGAGGCAGGAAGAUCGCUUGAGGUCCAGAGUUUAAGUCCAGCCUGGAAACAUAGUUAGACCUCAUCUCUACAAAAAUAAAAAAUAAAAAUAAAAAAAACUUAGCUAGGCAUGUUGCCACAUACUUGUAGUCCCAGUUAUUAGGGAAGCUGAGGUGGGAGGAUAGCUUAAGCCCAGGAUUUCAAGGCUGCAUUGAGCUAUGAUUACACCACUGCACUCCAGCCUGGGUAACAGAGUGAAAUCUUGUCUCUGGGAAAAAAAAAAAAAAAAAAAAAAAAGAGAGAGAGAGAGGGAGAUUUAUAUAACAUUUAAAUUAACUGCAUAAACCUGGGCAAUGUUCAAAACUCCAUCUCUACAAAAAAACACAAGAAUUAGCCAGGCACGGUGGUGUGUGUCUGUAGUCUCAGCUACUUAGGAGGCUGAGGUGGGAAGAUUGCUAGAGCCAGGAGGUCGAGGCUGCACUGAGCUGUGAUUGCGCUACUGUACUCCACCCUGGGUGAUGAAGCCC
rnacentral:lncRNA from 1 species